CACGUAGGGGGCAAGCGUUGUCCGGAUUUAUUGGGCGUAAAGAGCUCGUAGGUGGUUCGGUAAGUCAGGUGUGAAACCUCCAGGCUCAACCUGGAGACGCCACUUGAUACUGCUGUGACUGGAGUCCGGUAGGGGAGCGUGGAAUUCCUGGUGUAGCGGUGAAAUGCGCAGAUAUCAGGAGGAACACCAGCGGCGAAGGCGGCGCUCUGGGCCGGUACUGACAAUGAGGAGCGAAAGCGUGGGUAGCAAACAGG
rnacentral:rRNA from 1 species